AGUGAACGCUGGCGGCAGGCCUAACACAUGCAAGUCGAGCGGCAGCGCGGGGGCAACCCUGGCGGCGAGCGGCGGACGGGUGAGGAAUUCGUCGGAAUCUGCCUUUUUGUGGGGGAUAACGUAGGGAAACUUACGCUAAUACCGCAUACGUCCUACGGGAGAAAGUGGGGGACCGCAAGGCCUCACGCAGAAAGAUGAGCCGACGACCGAUUAGCUAGUUGGUGGGGUAAAGGCCCACCAAGGCGACGAUCGGUAGCUGGUCUGAGAGGAUGAUCAGCCACACUGGGACUGAGACACGGCCCAGACUCCUACGGGAGGCAGCACUGGGGAAUAUUGGACAAUGGGCGCAAGCCUGAUCCAGCCAUGCCGCGUGUGUGAAGAAGGCCUUCGGGUUGUAAAGCACUUUUGUCCGGAAAGAAAUCCCUGGAGCUAAUACCUUCGGGGGAUGACGGUACCGGAAGAAUAAGCACCGGCUAACUUCGUG
rnacentral:rRNA from 1 species